UACAGAGGUCCCAAGCGUUGUUCGGAUUCAUUGGGCGUAAAGGGUGCGUAGGCGGCGCGGUAAGUCGGGUGUGAAAUCUCGGAGCUUAACUCCGAAACUGCAUUCGAUACUGCCGUGCUUGAGGACUGGAGAGGAGACUGGAAUUUACGGUGUAGCGGUGAAAUGCGCAGAUAUCAGGAAGAACACCCGUGGCUAAGGCGGCUCUCUAGUACGGUACUGACGCUGAGACGCGAAAGCGUGGGGAGCGAACAGG
rnacentral:rRNA from 1 species